rnacentral:rRNA from 1 species
CACGUAGGGGGCAAGCGUUGUCCGGAUUCAUUGGGCGUAAAGAGCUCGUAGGCGGUUCGAUAAGUCGGGUGUGAAACCUCCAGGCUCAACCUGGAGACGCCACCCGAUACUGUCGUGACUAGAGUCCAGUAGGGGAGCGUGGAAUUCCUGGUGUAGUGGUGGAAUGCGUAGAUAUCGGGAGGAACACCAGUGGCGAAAGCGGCGCUCUGGGCCUAAACUGACGCUGAGGGGCGAAAGCGUGGGGAGCGAACGGG